CUUUCACCUGAAGAAGACCUUGAGCGUCUAUCACUCCCUCUCUCGGUUCGAGCGAGUUGCAUGGAUUGGGCAGUCAACGUUCUCUUAACUUUUUCUUCAACCCAUCCACCCCCCCACUCUGGGGUGUAUUCCAGCGCUUCUGCCGACGGACUUCGUGUGGGAUAAGUAUCUUUCUUCCAUCAACUGUACGUGUCCCACGGUGGCCUCUUCGCAUCUGGCUUCUGCGAGGGUUAGUUUACACGUCAAGACCUUUGGUUCCGUGUGGUUCCCGGCCGAGUGGGUGUGGCUGUUCCUGCUACGUUUUGUUAUUGUGGAGUAUUUGUUUUAAUAAUUUAUAUUGAAUUUCAAGUGUUUUAUAAUUUCAGAUCGAGCAAGCCUGGUGAAACCUACCAAUAGUUCAACAUCCAGUGGCUGGAGUCUUGCAAAGUUGGAUCUUCCUUUGACGUUCUCAAGGAUUUCAUGGUUUAUGAUCUAUUUCUUUCCUGUCUCCAGACCUUCGUUUGUCAAGGAACGAGGAAUGUGUAUCUCUCAAAGCUGUACAGCUGGCAGAUGAUUGGGCUUCCAGUCGUAAUGCGUAUCCGAAGACGUCCCACUGUCAAAUUAACACGAAGACGCGGAAGUUGCAUCCCUGAUCUGACUCUUCCAGAAAUCCUACCUCCACUGAAAUCCUACCUCCACUGAAGUGUCACAACUGCGGCGAAGGACACAUCCGGCCCCGGUGCCAUAAAAAUCCUCGCGCAUUUGAAAGUGACCGUACGUCAACACACGGUUGGUUUCUGUUUUCGACAUAGAAAUGUCGAAGUAUACCUACUGUGUUGGAGGGAUCAUAAACGGGUUCUUGGAUCUCCACCGUUCUCCGCGACACUGGCUGUACCAGUCUCCUAGUCUCCGAUGAAGGCCUACAUGACGUAGACACCACCAAUUGCAGACAGGUAACCGUUUAUGACUACCUAGGCCGCGCUGAGCAGUUCCCUGUAGUUAAACAUUUACUUGAAGUGUCCUUACUAAGAUGGUUGGGCUGGUGCUGUUCGAGCCCCAAUCUAGUUUGCAACAGUUCAGCUUGGUGACCAUUCCAGGAGCCCGUAAACCUGACGAUCCUGCCUACCCUUUUCCUGUCCACGUGACCUCCGUCUCCCUUCAAGGGAAUGGUGCUGCAGCUGCCCUGACUCAACCCGACGUGUCGCAACCCAUGGCCGAGCGUGUAGGUGCUGUACAAACUCUUGCUGGCUCUGGCCGCAUGAAACGCCUUCACCCUCUUGUUCUUCCCAGUUUGGAACCCUCACUAGCUACUGGCCGUGAUAAGGCCUGUGUCGGACAACCUCUAUCCAUCCUGGGAAGUUCGGAAAACGCGUGCUGGUUGUCCCUUCCGACUGUCGAGGUCAAGGUCAGUGAACACUUCUUCUGGCCUGCCAUGGCCUCGGACAUCUGAGACUACUGCCGCUCCUGCGACAUCUGCCAACGCAAGUAUCAAGGGGGCGGGUCAAGCCUGUUACUCUCCAAUCCUUGCCUGUGGUGACUGAGCCCUUCUCUCGGGUGAUGCCGUUGGGCCACUUCCACCUUCUUCCGAAGGCCACAAGUACAUACUGACCCUUAUUGCCUUUACCACAGGAUUUCCUGAAGCGAUUCUUCUGAAGGACGUGGAUUCCGUCUGUCGCUGAGGCAUCUUCAGAGUCGGAAUUCCUCAUAUGAGAUCCUCGGCGAUAGAGGAACUCGGUUCACGUCGCAACUAAUGGCCGAGCUCCUCAAACUUCGUGGCGUGGAGCCACAGUUCAUUACCUCGUACCACCCCGCUGGGAACGGACUGGUAGAAAGGUUGCACGGUCCCCUCGAAGCCGUCCUUCGGAAGAUUUGCCAGGAAAAACUCUGAGAAUGGCAUCGGUACCUUAUUCCUGCACAUUUUGCACUCCGGGAACUGCCUAGUGAUCGUACCGGCUUCUCCGCCUUCGAUGUCCUUUAUGCCCGGUGUGUGCCGGGACCACCUCCUGUUUUAAAGGAUUGUGGGAGGACAAACUUUUGGAGGAGAGCGACCGGACCAGUCUACAGCACGUCAUCAAGCUGCGGGAUAAACUUCAAGACUGCUCAGCUCGCCGCCCAAGAAGCUAUGAAGUCUCCACUCUUGCCAGUGACGAAACCAGCUUAGGAGGACCAGCCAACGUUCUCGCCUCAACCCUUCUUUCACCCCACCCACACCCCCGGUCUAGGGUGUAUUCCAGCGCUCCUGCCGACUAACUUCGUAUGGGACAAGUACCUUCCUCCCAUCAACUGUACGUGUUCCACGGCGGCCUCUUCGCAGCUGGCUUCUGCGAGGGUUACUCUACGAGUCAAGACAACAUGGUGACGCAAGACCUGAGGUCCCGUGUGGUUCCCGGCCGAGUAGGCGUGGCUGUUCCUGCUACUUUUUGUUUUUGUGGUGUAUAUGUAUUGUCUUAAUAAUUUAUAUUCAAC
rnacentral:lncRNA from 1 species